rnacentral:rRNA from 1 species
ACGGUACCUGCAGAAGAAGCCCCGGCUAACUACGUGCCAGCAGCCGCGGUAAUACGUAGGGGGCAAGCGUUGUCCGGAUUUAUUGGGCGUAAAGAGCUCGUAGGCGGUUCCGUAAGUCGAGUGUGAAAAAUCUGGGCUCAACCCAGUGGAGCACUCGAUACUGCGGUGACUAGAGUACGGUAGAGGAGUGUGGAAUUCCUGGUGUAGCGGUGAAAUGCGCAGAUAUCAGGAGGAACACCAACGGCGAAGGCAGCACUCUGGGCCGGUACUGACGCUGAGGAGCGAAAGCGUGGGGAGCAAACAGGAUUAGAUACCCUGGUAGUCCACGCCGUAAACGUUGGGCACUAGGUGUGGGAAGGAAUCAACCCUUUCCGUGCCGUAGCUAACGCAUUAAGUGCCCCGCCUGGGGAGUACGGCCGCAAGGCUAAAACUCAAAGGAAAUUGACGGGGGCCCGCACAAGCGGCGGAGCAUGUUUGCUUAAUUUCGAGGCAACGCGAAGAACCUUACCUGGGUUUGACAUGUACGGAAAAGCCAUAGAGAUUAUGGUGUCCUUCGGG